ACCGGCUUAGAGCAGUGGUAGCUCGCUGGCCUCCGAUUUAUUUACACAAAUCAUCUAAGCCAGAAGUCGGCGGUUCGAAUCCGUCAGUCGGUU
rnacentral:tRNA from 1 species